GCCGGAGUGGCGGAAUUGGCAUACGCGCACGACUCAAACUCGUGUACCCGAAAGGGUAUGAGGGUUCAAUUCCCUCCUUCGGCA
rnacentral:tRNA from 2 species